GGAGGCUCACGGUCUGGAGCAACAACACCAUCCUCCUCGGCCGGACAAUCGAGGCAACCUUACCUGAGACGGCGAAACUCAGGACGAGGCAGCACUUUCUGUCCCAUGCAGUGGUUGACAGGCACCUGCUUCUGUCAGAGAAAAACGCCUUCAAAAUAACUGAUAAUAACUUUGAUCACACAUGCAUGCAUCGAAGGCCAAGCAAAUGAAUUUAAAGAAAGAAUGGAAACAGCAGUGCAACAUAAUGCUUACUUUUACAGAGUGUCAGUUGAAAUGAACUCAAAUGUCUAGACAAAAUGUUUCUCCCAAUAGUAAUGUCUUUUUUAUCAUUUAUAGAUGCUGUUUAACAGUUGUUAAUGAUUUUACAUGCAUCUGAAUGGUUUACAGAGUCUUAAAGGGAUAGUUCACACAAAAAUGAAAAUUCUGUUAUUAUUUACUCAGUCUCAUGUUGUUGUAAACCUAUUUAAGUUUCUUUAUUCUGCUGAGAAGAUAUUUUGAUAAAUGAUGGUAAGCACACAUGAGAGUGUACCCAUUGACGUCUAAAGUACAAAUUAAAUCUAAGGAGGAAAAUGGAGGACAGUCAAUUUUCUAUGUCAUGUGAUGUUUAAACACACAAAAGUUUCUAAUCUAAUCAUCCAUAUGCCGAUAUAUAACAUGCAUAACGUCUUGCAUUGCAUUUGUCCUUCAUGUUUAGCUGCGUUGACUCUCAGAUAUGUAAAGCACAGGCUGACAGAUGUAGUGAGAAGGCAUGAUAUAUAAAGAUAAAUUACCAGCACAACGCUAUAAAGUGUUGCCAUGAAUAACCCUGCAGAUGCAUAUGAAUCCGGACACAAUAAGAGGGGAAGCCCAGCAGUCAGAGAUGUGUCUCCAUUGUGAUUACAGGUGGGAAAUAGUUUUAAAGGAAAGGUACAUCUGUGAACCAGCUUUUGUAUCUUGUAAACCUGAAAAUGACUUUUACAAUUUAAAUGGAGCACAGUCUUUGGAUGACAUCAAGUGUCUGUUGGUAUAACUCCUAGACAUUCAAUGGUGAUAUCAAAGGCUUUUGGUCUGACAAAGGACAAUAGAUCUCUGGCACCACGACCACACCAUCAUCCUCUGUGACAUUGUCAACAAUUUCCUCUUAAAAAAGUUGCUCCACCAU